rnacentral:rRNA from 1 species
GACGAACGCUGGCGGCGUGGAUUAGGCAUGCAAGUCGAGCGGCAAGGCACCUUCGGGUGCCCUAGAGCGGCGAACGGGUGAGUAACACGUGAACAAUCUGCCCUUACGUUCCGGAUAAUUGGUCGAAAGACCUUGUAAUACGGGGGGAGGAUCGGUCUUUGGCAUCUUAGACCGAGGGAAGUUACAAGUUUACUUGUGACGCGCAAGGAGGAGUUCGCGGAUUAUCAGCUAGUUGGUGAGGAACGGCUCACCAAGGCUACGACGAUUAGCUGGUCUGAGAGGAUGGUCAGCCACAUUGGAACUGAGACACUGUCCAGACUCCUACGGG